rnacentral:rRNA from 1 species
GAUGAACGCUGGCGGCGUGCCUAAUACAUGCAAGUCGAGCGAACGGACGAGAAGCUUGCUUCUCUGAUGUUAGCGGCGGACGGGUGAGUAACACGUGGAUAACCUACCUAUAAGACUGGGAUAACUUCGGGAAACCGGAGCUAAUACCGGAUAAUAUUUUGAACCGCAUGGUUCAAAAGUGAAAGACGGUCUUGCUGUCACUUAUAGAUGGAUCCGCGCUGCAUUAGCAAGUUGGUAAGGUAACGGCUUACCAAGGCAACGAUGCAUAGCCGACCUGAGAGGGUGAUCGGCCACCCUGGAACUGAGACACGGUCCAGACUCCUACGGGAGGCAGCAGUAGGGAAUCUUCCGCAAUGGGCGAAAGCCUGACGGAGCAACGCCGCGUGAGUGAUGAAGGUCUUCGGAUCGUAAAGCUCUGUUAUUAGGGAAGAACAUAUGUGUAAUUAACUGUGCACAUCUUGACGGUACCUAAUCAGAAAGCCACGGCUAACUACGUG